rnacentral:rRNA from 1 species
CCCAGGAGCCACAAGUGGCAACCACCUUUAUUGGGCCUAAAGCGUCCGUAGCCGGUUUUGUAAAUUUUCUGUGAAAUCGUUGCGCUUAACGUAACGGCGUGCAGAAAACACUGCAAGACUCGGGACCGGGAAGAGUCAGAGGUAUUUGAGGGGGAGCGGUAAAAUGCUAUAAUCCUUCAAGGACCACCUGUGGCGAAGGCGUCUGACUAGAACGGAUCCGACGGUGAGGGACGAAAGCUAGGGGAGCAAUCCGGAUU